GGGGGGAGGCCGGAUCCCGGGCUGUGUCCCUGGUGCCCUGUGUUCUGGGGCCUGCGCUGUUGGAUUCGCACUCCCGGUCGUGCAGCCCCCU
rnacentral:pre_miRNA from 1 species